rnacentral:rRNA from 1 species
CCUACGGGAGGCAGCAGUAGGGAAUAUUGCUCAAUGGGGGAAACCCUGAAGCAGCAACGCCGCGUGGGGGAUGAAGGUUUUCGGAUCGUAAACUCCUUUUGUUAGAGAAGAUAAUGACGGUAUCUAACGAAUAAGCACCGGCGAACUCCGUGCCAGCAGCCGCGGUAAUACGGAGGGUGCAAGCGUUACUCGGAAUCACUGGGCGUAAGGAGAGCGUAGGCGGGAUAGCAAGUCAGAUGUGAAAUCCUAUGGCUUAACCAUAGAACUGCAUUUGAAACUGUUAUUCUAGAGUAUGGGAGAGGUAGGUGGAAUUCUUGGUGUAGGGGUAAAAUCCGUAGAGAUCAAGAGGAAUACUCAUUGCGAAGGCGACCUGCUAGAACAUAACUGACGCUGAUGCGCGAAAGCGUGGGGAGCAAACAGGAUUAGAUACCCGAGUAGUC